AUACGAAGGUCCCAAGCGUUAUUCGGAAUCAUUUGGCGUAAAGGGCACGCAGGCGGUUCUGUCAGUCAGAUGUGAAAGCCCGGGGCUUAACCCCGGACGUGCAUUUGAAACAGCAGGACUUGAGUAUGGUAGAGGAAAGCGGAAUUCCUGGUGUAGAGGUGAAAUUCGUAGAUAUCAGGAGGAACACCGGUGGCGAAGGCGGCUUUCUGGACCAAAACUGACGCUGAGGUGCGAAGGCGUGGGUAGCGAACAGGAUUAGAAACCCCUGUAGUCC
rnacentral:rRNA from 1 species